CCUACGGGCGGCAGCAGUGAGGAAUAUUGGUCAAUGGUCGGGAGACUGAACCAGCCAAGCCGCGUGAGGGAUGAAGGUACAGAGUAUCGUAAACCUCUUUUGUCAGGGAACAAAGGCGGGGACGCGUCCCCGGAUGAGUGUACCUGAAGAAAAAGCAUCGGCUAACUCCGUGCCAGCAGCCGCGGUAAUCCGGAGGAUGCGAGCGUUAUCCGGAUUUAUUGGGUUUAAAGGGUGGGCAGGCGGUCUGUAAAGUCAGCGGGAAAAGCCCGGGGCUCAACCCCGGCCCGCCGUUGAAACUGGCAGUCUCGAGUUGGAGAGAAGUAUGCGGAAUGCGCGGUGUAGCGGGGAAAUGCAUAGAUAUCGCGCAGAACUCCGAUUGCGAAGGCAGCAUGCCGGCUCCACACUGACGCUGAGGCACGAAAGCGUGGGUAUCGAACAGGAUUAGAUACCCGGGUAGUC
rnacentral:rRNA from 1 species